rnacentral:rRNA from 1 species
GCCAGACUCCUACGGGAGGCAGCAGUGGGGGAUAUUGCACAAUGGAGGAAACUCUGAUGCAGCGACGCCGCGUGAGGGAAGACGGUCUUCGGAUUGUAAACCUCUGUCUUUGGGGAAGAAAAUGACGGUACCCAAAGAGGAAGCUCCGGCUAACUACGUGCCAGCAGCCGCGGUAAUACGUAGGGAGCGAGCGUUGUCCGGAAUUACUGGGUGUAAAGGGAGCGUAGGCGGGCGCUUAAGUCAGGUGUGAAAACUCCGGGCUCAACCUGGAGACUGCACUUGAAACUGGGUGUCUUGAGGGCAGGAGAGGAAAGUGGAAUUCCUAGUGUAGCGGUGAAAUGCGUAGAUAUUAGGAGGAACACCAGUGGCGAAGGCGGCCCGCUGGGCUUUAACUGACGCUGAGGCUCGAAAGCGUGGGGAGCAAACAGGAUUAGAUACCCGCGUA